rnacentral:rRNA from 1 species
CAGUCGCCGCGGUAAUACGAAGGGGGCUAGCGUUGUUCGGAAUUACUGGGCGUAAAGCGCACGUAGGCGGAUCGAUCAGUCAGGGGUGAAAUCCCAGGGCUCAACCCUGGAACUGCCUUUGAUACUGUCGAUCUGGAGUAUGGAAGAGGUGAGUGGAAUUCCGAGUGUAGAGGUGAAAUUCGUAGAUAUUCGGAGGAACACCAGUGGCGAAGGCGGCUCACUGGUCCAUUACUGACGCUGAGGUGCGAAAGCGUGGGGAGCAAACAGGAUUAGAUACCCGAGUAGUCCCUGUCUCUUAUAC